rnacentral:rRNA from 1 species
CCAGACUCCUACGGGAGGCAGCAGUGGGGGAUAUUGCACAAUGGGGGAAACCCUGAUGCAGCGACGCCGCGUGGGUGAAGAAGUAUUUCGGUAUGUAAAGCCCUAUCAGCAGGGAAGAAAGAAGACGGUACCUGACUAAGAAGCCCCGGCUAACUACGUGCCAGCAGCCGCGGUAAUACGUAGGGGGCGAGCGUUAUCCGGAUUCACUGGGUGUAAAGGGAGCGUAGACGGCCAUGCAAGCCAGGGGUGAAAGCCCGGGGCCCAACCCCGGGACUGCCCUUGGAACUGUGCGGCUAGAGUGCGGGAGGGGCAGGCGGAAUUCCUGGUGUAGCGGUGAAAUGCGUAGAUAUCAGGAGGAACACCGGCGGCGAAGGCGGCCUGCUGGACUGAAACUGACGUUGAGGCUCGAAAGCGUGGGGAGCAAACAGGAUUAGAUACCCCCGUAU